UCCGUAGGGUGCAAGCGUUGUCCGGAAUUAUUGGGCGUAAAGAGCUCGUAGGCGGUCUGUUGCGUCGGCUGUGAAAACCCGGGGCUCAACCCCGGGCCUGCAGCCGAUACGGGCAGACUAGAGUUCGGCAGGGGAGACUGGAAUUCCUGGUGUAGCGGUGAAAUGCGCAGAUAUCAGGAGGAACACCGGUGGCGAAGGCGGGUCUCUGGGCCGAUACUGACGCUGAGGAGCGAAAGCGUGGGGAGCGAACAGG
rnacentral:rRNA from 1 species